GAUGAAGAACGCAGCGAAAUGCGAUAAGUUAUGUGAAUUGCAGAAUUCAGUGAAUCAUCGAAUCUUUGAACGCAUCUUGCGCUCCUUGGUAUUCUGAGGAGCAUGCCUGUUUGAGUGUCAUUAAAUUCUCAACUACACUGACUUUGAAUUGGUGUGGCUUGGAUUUGGGGGGAAAAUUGUUGUGGGCUUUUUGUAUAGUCUGCUCCCCUGAAAUUGAUUAGCGGUACCUUUGUGGAACUGUCUACAGGUGUGAUAAUUAUCUACAUCUUAGACAUCUGCUGGAAUGCUGCUUUCUAAACCUUACUUGUAUUGACAAUCUUGACCUCAAAUCAGGUAGGACUACCCGCUGAACUUAAGCAUAUCAAUAAGCGGAGGA
rnacentral:misc_RNA from 1 species